rnacentral:snRNA from 1 species
GGAUGUGAGGGCCAUCUGACUGUCAUCCUGUUGAUCCCCAUGGUUGAUUCAGCUGAUAUAGCUGGCUAGGCAGGUGUCCUGUUUCUCUCUCACUGGUCCAUGUUUGUCCCUCCUUUAGCUUUGUGCUUGCAUGACUGAAGAUACUGACUUUCCCUGACAGAGGACAAGCCUUUACUCAUGGUAUAGAGCAGCUGUGCUUCUCUGCUAGAACCUCCAACUGAGUUCUCAAGAGAUAUCGAUUUCUAGGAAUGUUAUGGGAUUUACAGAAGUCUUUAAAAAUUCUAACACAUAAAAACCAAACUCUUAAAUUU